rnacentral:rRNA from 1 species
AUUGAACGCUGGCGGCAUGCCUUACACAUGCAAGUCGAACGGCAGCACGGGAGCAAUCCUGGUGGCGAGUGGCGAACGGGUGAGUAAUAUAUCGGAACGUGCCCAGUCGUGGGGGAUAACGUAGCGAAAGCUACGCUAAUACCGCAUACGAUCUAUGAAUGAAAGCGGGGGAUCGCAAGAACUGGCGCGAUUGGAGCGGCCGAUAUCAGAUUAGGUAGUUGGUGAGGUAAAGGCUCACCAAGCCGACGAUCUGUAGCUGGUCUGAGAGGACGACCAGCCACACUGGAACUGAGACACGGUCCAGACUCCUACGGGAGGCAGCAGUGGGGAAUUUUGGACAAUGGGCGCAAGCCUGAUCCAGCAAUGCCGCGUGCAGGAUGAAGGCCUUCGGGUUGUAAACUGCUUUUGUACGGGACGAAACGGCGAGCUCUAAUACAGUUUGCUAAUGACGGUACCGUAAGAAUAAGCACCGGCUAACUACGUGCCAGCCGCCGCCGUAA